UAUGUCUCUUUUCUCUCUGCUAAAAAGUUUUGGCUUUUAUUGUAUUUUCUGUUCGUUUUCUGGGAAAAUUUAAGGGAAAAAGUUUUGCUACUGACAUGGCAUAAUAUAUAUACUUCAAAUUUGUAAUCUCAGAAGCUAAUCAUGUAAGUCAGCGAUGAAAAAUAUGUGUCCUUUUGGUUUUCAGAAUGCAAAUUUAAGUCUGUUCUAAUUAUUAUUUUGCAGUUUUGGAGAGUUCAUGCAUUGAUUUCCACUUUGGUUAGGGAUUUAUUAUCCUAUUGAUGCUAGAAUCAAGGAAUUUUCAAUAACUUUAUCAGAUCAAAGUAACUUUUAUUACUAAACUAGAAAAGUUUAUGCUGUUUGAUCUACAGUUUCACGUGUUGUUUUAAUUGCCCUUUUGGCUGCAACAUUGUUAGAACAUUUUGCAAAAUGUUAUCAAACUAGGUGCUGCUGUGCCUGGGAACCUUUUGGGUUCCCUGGUGAUAUCUAAUCUUUGCAAUCUAGAAUCAGAAUCCUUAAAGUUUUGUUUAUUUUGAUUAGAACUUAAUGGAUAUCAGCUCAUAUUGAAUAAAAUUUGAAAACUAAAUCAGUAUUGACCUU
rnacentral:misc_RNA from 1 species